rnacentral:rRNA from 1 species
CAGUAGCACGGGAAUACGAGGGGGGCAAGCGUUGUUCGGAAUUAUUGGGCGUAAAGGGUGCGUAGGCGGUUUGAUAAGUCACAUGUGAAAUCUUUGGGCUCAACCCGAAGUCUGCAUGCGAAACUGUCGGGCUUGAGUAUGGGAGAGGUGAGUGGAAUUUCCGGUGUAGCGGUGAAAUGCGUAGAUAUCGGAAGGAACACCUGUGGCGAAAGCGGCUCACUGGACCAUAACUGACGCUGAUGCACGAAAGCUAGGGGAGCAAACAGGAUUAGAUACCCCGGUAGUCCCUGUCUCUUAUACC